UACGUAGGGUGCGAGCGUUGUCCGGAAUUACUGGGCGUAAAGAGCUCGUAGGUGGUUUGUCGCGUUGUCCGUGAAAAACUCACAACUCAAUUGUGGGCGUGCGGGCGAUACGGGCAGACUGGAGUACUGCAGGGGAGACUGGAAUUCCUGGUGUAGCGGUGGAAUGCGCAGAUAUCAGGAGGAACACCGGUGGCGAAGGCGGGUCUCUGGGCAGUAACUGACGCUGAGGAGCGAAAAGCGUGGGGGAGCGAACAGG
rnacentral:rRNA from 1 species